GAUGAACGCUGGCGGCGUGCUUAACACAUGCAAGUCGAACGGAAAGGCUCCUGCUUGCAGGGGUACUCGAGUGGCGAACGGGUGAGUAACACGUGGGUGAUCUGCCCUGCACUUCGGGAUAAGCCUGGGAAACUGGGUCUAAUACCGGAUAGGACGAUGGUUUGGAUGCCAUUGUGGAAAGUUUUUCGGUGUGGGAUGAGCUCGCGGCCUAUCAGCUUGUUGGUGGGGUAAUGGCCUACCAAGGCGUCGACGGGUAGCCGGCCUGAGAGGGUGUACGGCCAAAUUGGGACUGAGAUACGGCCCAGACUCCUACGGGAGGCAGCAGUGGGGAAUAUUGCACAAUGGGCGCAAGCCUGAUGCAGCGACGCCGCGUGGGGGAUGACGGCCUUCGGGUUGUAAACUCCUUUCGCUAGGGACGAAGCGCAAGUGACGGUACCUGGAGAAGAAGCACCGGCUAACUACGUG
rnacentral:rRNA from 1 species